GGAAGGUGAGCUCCCAUGCUUCCACAUCAGCCAAUGACUUCCCUAUUACGAGGAAAGGUCUUCCUAAUAUUCUCGUCACCUCAUAGUCGGCUUCGUAGUCCAGAAUUACAAAUUUAGCAGGCAAAUAAACUUAUCCACUCGAAUAAAAACAUCAUCAAUAAUACCAAGCAACAUCUUCAUUGUUCUAUCCGCCAUUUCCAAUCUCGUUGAACGAGCUCUCGAUUGACUAAUACCUAAAUUUUUGAACACGAAGUAAUGCAUAAAAUUGAUUCUUGGUCCCAAAUCACACAAUAACUUUG
rnacentral:lncRNA from 1 species